ACACCUCAACUCUCAUGGUCCGCCAUGAUGAGCUUGGACUUUGGGGGUCUUGCUGGCCCAUCGUCAGCUCCUCUCAAACGUAUCAGCUUCCCAGUGUUUGGUGGCGUCACAGGUGCGAUAACUAUCUACGCUUGUGAUUUUCUGCCAUUAACCUUCAGCAAUGGAGGUUCACUGGAGCUCACAGAUGUCUCUCCUAUGUGAGGACAGCUUUUUGAAC
rnacentral:misc_RNA from 1 species